rnacentral:rRNA from 1 species
CGGUUUCCGGCUGGCCUAACCAUGCGAGUCGAGCGGAUGAGUGGAGCUUGCUCCAUGAUUCAGCGGCGGACGGGUGAGUAAUGCCUAGGAAUCUGCCUGGUAGUGGGGGACAACGUUUCGAAAGGAACGCUAAUACCGCAUACGUCCUACGGGAGAAAGUGGGGGAUCUUCGGACCUCACGCUAUCAGAUGAGCCUAGGUCGGAUUAGCUAGUUGGUGAGGUAAAGGCUCACCAAGGCGACGAUCCGUAACUGGUCUGAGAGGAUGAUCAGUCACACUGGAACUGAGACACGGUCCAGACUCCUACGGGAGGCAGCAGUGGGGAAUAUUGGACAAUGGGCGAAAGCCUGAUCCAGCCAUGCCGCGUGUGUGAAGAAGGUCUUCGGAUUGUAAAGCACUUUAAGUUGGGAGGAAGGGCAGUAAGUUAAUACCUUGCUGUUUUGACGUUACCAACAGAAUAAGCACCGGCUAACUUCGUGCCAGCAGCCGCGGUAAUACGAAGGGUGCAAGCGUUAAUCGGAAUUACUGGGCGUAAAGCGCGCGUAGGUGGUUCGUUAAGUUGGAUGUGAAAGCCCCGGGCUCAACCUGGGAACUGCAUCCAAAACUGGCGAGCUAGAGUAUGGCAGAGGGUGGUGGAAUUUCCUGUGUAGCGGUGAAAUGCGUAGAUAUAGGAAGGAACACCAGUGGCGAAGGCGACCACCUGGGCUAAUACUGACACUGA